AGCGGUACCGUUAAGACGUGUUACCCUAACUAGAGUACGAGGCUGGCCCUCGUACACCUUAAAAUAAUCCAAACUGACGAGGUAGCAGGAUCUACCGUUUAUUUAUAAAACCCGGGCGCUGGUUUCGUCGCGGGAACAUAACAAUAUAUAGAAGAAGAAAUAUAUAUCAUAUUUUUAUACAACGUAGUCAUCUUUAGAAGAAAUUGUAGUGUUCCAUCAUUCAUCAAGCAUCACCUUCCCACCACUAUCAUCAUCAUCACCAUCGGUCAGGGCUGGACCCUUACAAGAUCUACAAUAACAAAUGUAUAUUUCGGUAAAUGCAUUUUUGAUGCUUAAUUUUGGUGAAAGAUUUUCUGUAUGUGCUCACUUUCUCAUAUGUUGUCUGCUGUUGAUUUAUAUUUGGAGCAUUGAAUGUAAAGAUAUUGGUCUACAUUUGGACACUCUCUCCCGUGUCUCUACCAAUUUUCUCGUCAUAUGGAAUUUCUUGGUUGAAAUGAUCAUGCAUUCAUUUUUGGGGUAUAGAUUUCAUGAAUAGGUUCACGUUCAUGUAUAUUAAACCAGCGGACCACUAUUUUUCCAUUAUGAUAUAGUCAGUUUGCCGCAAUUCUGUUAACAUUCUGAUGAAUAAAUAAAAGUACAUCAAGAUUCUACCAUUCUACAUGCUUAUGGAUUGAUUCAUAAUAUGCAGGAAAACGUAUGAUAAUGAUGUCAUUAUUUGAGUAUACGCCAUAUCACCCAAAAUAGUUAUGACGGUCUGUCAAUAGGACCAAAGAGCACGUAUGGGUGUAUCAACUAUCAUUUUAUUGAGUUCAAUGAGGUACAUUUGUAUCAACUAUCAUUUUAUUGAGUUCAAUGAGGUACACUCUCUCGGGGUUGCGAUGCUUAGUCUGUAACUCCUUGGUUUAUUAACAGUCAUGGCGUUUCAUUCAACUCCAUAUUUUUCUACAACCAGUCCUCCAAUUUCCACCUGACCGAAUGACGAGUUCGGCUAAAUCCCUCAUAGUUCAUUUCGGCUAAGAAAUUAGACCAACAAUUAAUUGGGUAAAGUGAUAAUUGAGACAAGUGGUUAUCUGUUAGAUACUAUCAUGACUAUAACAAUCAGAUAAAUUACCGGAAAGGCAAAAUCAAACGUGGUUUAAAAGGGGUUAGACUGAAUGAAGAUGGGCAAAACUGAAAUAAGACCAAGUAAUCAUGGAGCAUAAAACAAUUCUCACCCUAAAAUUCGUUGACCGGAAGCGCAGCAUAAAGCAAGUAUUAUUUUGAAUGGAUAGUCACAAUAACAGAAAGUUCUCUGCUUCUUAUAAUGUUCGUUUCAAAAACUGUUACAAAGAUUAUAUGAAUGAAAGUAGAUGAAAAGACUUUCUUUACCAUUGACGAUGGCUAUUCUGUCGACCAUUAACUGAGCAUUGCCCUGAAUAUGCCCUAAAAGUCAAUGCAUACAAUAAACAACAAGGCAUUUUAUAUGUCUUUUCAUUUUCAUGUGCAUUAUGGGUGAGUCGAUGAUGUCAAAGGCGCAUUAUGAUAAAAUAUGGAACUCAAAUAUUUGAAGUUUUAUUU